GACGAACGCUGGCGGCGUGCUUAACACAUGCCAGUCGAACGGAAAGGCCCUGCUUUUGUUGGUUGCUCGAGUGGCGAACGGGUGUGUAACACGUGUGUAACCUGCCCUUGACUUUGGGAUAACUUCACGAAACUCGGGCUCAUACCGGAUAUGAUCUCCUGCUGCAUGGUGUGGGUUGGAAAGUUUCGGCGGUUGUGGAUGGACUCGCGGCUUAUGAGCUUGUUGGUGGGGUAGUGGCUUACCAAGGCUUUGACGGGUAGCCGGCCUGAGAGGGUUACCGGCCACAUGGGGACUGAGAUACGGCGCAGAAGCGUACGGGAGGCAGCAGGGGGGAAUAUGGCAGAAUGGGCGGAAGCCUGAUGCAGAAACGCCGCGUGCGGGAUGACGGCCUUCGGGUUGUAAACCGCUUUCGCCUGUGACGAAGCGUGAGUGACGGUAAUGGGUAAAGAAGCACCGGCUAACUACGUG
rnacentral:rRNA from 1 species